UCCUUUACUGGGUCUGAGAUUUCCACCAUGAAAAUUCACUUCUUAGGUUGGACAAAACAUGAGAGUUAUUGCUUUGAAAAGACUAUUGCUAAAAUGCUUAUGUGUCAGCUGGGAGAAGCAGGUCUUAUUUUCUUAUCAGAAGAAUAGACGGACCUGAGUUAUGAUGUAAACUUCUAUCUUUUUUUUUCUGGCUUCCUAUUUAGAGAAUGAGAACAUAUGAAGUGCAUGCAUAUACCUGGCGUCCAGUGACGGCUAAGGAUCCAAAUGAAUUCUAGUUGGCAAGGAGAGAGGAAAAGAGCUGACACAUCACUGUC